UUGGUUGACACUUGCCCAAGGUAUGCUGUACAGAGGGAUGUAACCUGAAGCCAAAUAGUUAUGAAGUGAACUACAUGCCUUUGCCUCUCUGUAUAUCAGAAUGUAUCAAUGUAUAGAAGGGUGGAUGGACAGAUAGAUGGAUGCAUGAAAGCUAUUAACUCUUUUGGUCAUUAACAAUUUCUUUUUCUGAGUGAAGAUGUGUGCAGUAAUGAGAGCUGAUGUGACAGAGAAUAAUGACAAGUGGAGGGACAUUGUAUUAAAAGUGACCUAGCUAACAUGUCAUCUUGGAAAAAUGGAUGCAAAACAAUGAUGUUGAUGAUAAUGAUAUAUAUAUAUAUAUAUAUAUAUUAUUUCAGAAUUCAUUUCUCUUUCCCUCUUUUAUACUACGUACACAUCUAUAUGCAUGGGAAAGAUGUAAUUAGAUCAGUUUGAGAGUUAUAUCGUACAAAUGAGAUAGCACAGGCUCAAUACAGAUGGAGAGAUGCAGUACUACAAAUUUGACCCAUCCAUUUCAAUGCUAUAAAUAACUUGACCUAAAAGUGAUAUUACUGAUGGAAAUCAUACAGUCCUUCCCGUUGUCAACAAUAAUCUUUUUCUAUAACAAUGGUUGAUCUGGUGAAGCAAAAACUAAUGAAUAGACCUGUAAAACAAUGAUUAGAUUAAGAAACUUAGAUGCUCAAGAUGUAAGUUAUGCUAAUAUUGAUUCGAUUAGAAUCCCUUGCAGGGCAACAACCCAGAAAAGCAGGAAGGGUAUCCAAGAAAAGAAAAUUUGCCUCAAUGAAAAGACUGGAAAUGUGGAUGUUAAAAUGAUGAUGGUUAUGAUGAUAAUGGUGAUAAAAGGAUACACUUAGAUGACAUUUCACUCAUAAUAAAUAAAACUAACCAAUAAUAUUAAUAAAUGGAUUAACUAGGAGGUGAUAGUUGGAAAUAACUUCAUCAUUCUCCAUAUAUUACUUAAGAAAGAAUUUUUCACACACUUUUUACAAGUUUUUUAGUUAUGAAUUUAUAGAUAAGCUCUUCCUUUAGUCAAUUUAUUCACAUACUUAAUGUUGCAGGGUUUAAAAUCCAUUAUAUAUUUGACAAAUAUUGCUUAUUCUUAAGUUUCUCUGAAUAUUCUGUAUUCUGUUUUGUAUUCCCCCUUUGCAAGGAUGCUCAACACAUCAUUCUAUAAAAUUCGAUAUUAUAAACCCAAUAAAGAAGAUAACUAA